GGGCGUUAAGUUGCAGGGUAUAGACCCGAAACCCGGUGAUCUAGCCAUGGGCAGGUUGAAGGUUGGGUAACACUAACUGGAGGACCGAACCGACUAAUGUUGAAAAAUUAGCGGAUGACCUGUGGCUGGGGGUGAAAGGCCAAUCAAACCGGGAGAUAGCUGGUUCUCCCCGAAAGCUAUUUAGGUAGCGCCUCGUGAAUUCAUCUCCGGGGGUAGAGCACUGUUUCGGCUAGGGGGCCAUCCCGGCUUACCAACCCGAUGCAAACUGCGAAUACCGGAGAAUGUUAUCACGGGAGACACACGGCGGGUGCUAACGUCCGUCGUGAAGAGGGAAACAACCCAGACCGCCAGCUAAGGUCCCAAAGUCAUGGUUAAGUGGGAAACGAUGUGGGAAGGCCCAGACAGCCAGGAUGUUGGCUUAGAAGCAGCCAUCAUUUAAAGAAAGCGUAAUAGCUCACUGGUCGAGUCGGCCUGCGCGGAAGAUGUAACGGGGCUAAACCAUGCACCGAAGCUGCGGCAGCGACGCUGAUGCGUUGUUGGGUAGGGGAGCGUUCUGUAAGCCUGCGAAGGUGACCUGUGAGGGUUGCUGGAGGUAUCAGAAGUGCGAAUGCUGACAUAAGUAACGAUAAAGCGGGUGAAAAGCCCGCUCGCCGGAAGACCAAGGGUUCCUGUCCAACGUUAAUCGGGGCAGGGUGAGUCGACCCCUAAGGC
rnacentral:rRNA from 2 species